rnacentral:tRNA from 1 species
CAGGGGAUAGUUUAAUUAAAAUUUUGGCUUUGGGUGUCAAUGAUGGGGGUGUGAGUCUCUUUCCUCUGA